GGCUUAGAAGCAGCCAUGCAUUCAAAGAGUGCGUAACAGCUCACUGGUCGAGUGGGGGCGCGCCGACAAUGCGCGGGGCUCAAGCACGGCGCCGAAGCGGCGGAAUCGAUCAAUUCGAUUGGUAGGGGAGCUUUCCAUGCCGGGCGAAGCCGGAGGCGCGAGCCCCGGUGGACGGCAUGGAAGUGAGGAUGCAGGCAUGAGUAGCGAGAGAGCGGCGAGAAACCGCUCCGCCGAAAACCCAAGGUUUCCUGGGCGAGGCUAAUCCCCCCAGGGUCAGCCGGGAGCUAAGGCGAGGCCGAGAGGCGCAGCCGAUGCACGACGGGCAGACAUUCCCGUGCCGGCGCGGGCGCGCUACGACCGAUGGGACGACGGGGAAGGAUACGCGAGCGGGGUUCUGGACGUCCCCGUGAAAGCGCGUAGGGAGGGGCCCAGGGAAAUCCGGUCCCCGCACAUCCCGAGACGCGAGACGAGCCCCAUGGCGAAGUCGCGGAUUCCAUGCCUCCUAGAAAAAUCCCUAGGCAGCGCCCGCGCCGCCCGUACCAAAACCGACACAGGUGGGUAGGAAGAGCAUUCCGAGGCGAUCGGGGCAACCAUGGUCAAGGAACUCGGCAUAAUCGUCCCGUAACUUAGGGAGAAGGGACGCCCCCCAGCGUGAGCCGGCUCGCCCGGGAAGCGCCGGGGGGCCGCAGCGAAAGGGCCCAAGCGACUGUUUACCAAAAACACAGGACUCUGCCAAGCCGCGAGGCGAAGUAUAGGGUCUGACGCCUGCCCGGUGCCGGAAGGUUACGCGGAUGCGUUAGCACUCGUGCGAAGCGCUGAAGCCAAGCCCCGGUAAACGGCGGCCGUAACUAUAACGGUCCUAAGGUAGCGAAAUUCCUUGUCGGGUAAGUUCCGACCUGCACGAACGGCGCAACGACUUGGGCGCUGUCUCGACCAUGGGCCCGGCGAAAUUGCAUUAUCCGUGAAGAUGCGGAUUCCCCGCGGAAGGACGGAAAGACCCCGUGAACCUUUACUGCAGCUUGGCAUUGGCCGCAGGCGCGGCGCGUAGAGGAUAGGCAGGAGGCUGCGAAGCCGGGGCGCCAGCCCUGGCGGAGCCGACCUUGGAAUACUGCCCCCGUCGCGUCGGCGGCCUAACCCGGGGACGGCCCGGGGACCGUGCCAGGCGGGCAGUUUGACUGGGGCGGUCGCCUCCCAAAGAGUAACGGAGGCGCGCGCAAGGUCCGCUCAGGACGGUCGGCAACCGUCCGCGGAGCGCAAGAGCACAAGCGGGCCUGACUGCGAGGCAGACAAGCCGAGCAGGGACGAAAGUCGGCUCUAGUGAUCCGGCGGCCCCGAGUGGAAGGGCCGUCGCUCAACGGAUAAAAGGUACUCCGGGGAUAACAGGCUGAUCUUGCCC
rnacentral:rRNA from 1 species